UGACUUUCAUCUAGCGUGUAAUGAUGUUAAUGGAGGAGAACUCCUAUCAAUUUACAACCCCCGCGGUUUUCUCUUCCAGCUUCGGGAGAGGUAACAAAUGUAUUUAACCUCUCAUGGGUUUUAGGACUAUGCUACAGUUGUAGAAAUUGGGAAUCUUGUAUACUUCUUCAGUGUUUCUCUAGCUAUUAUUUUUUUUUCCUUCUAUUUUGGUUUCAAUUUGUAUCUUUUGAGGAAGCUUGCUGUUCCCUCAUGUGGGUUCAUACCACUGAAAUGCUUUAAGAUUUAUUUUGUGUGAUUUUCAAGAUGAACAUUCAAUAGACAUUAGACUGAAAGAAAAGUAGGAUUACUCUUAAAAUUAAUUUUGCUGGGACUGCUACAGUUAUUGGGUAUCAAAUUUUUCCAUACAUGGGAGACGAUCUGAUGCAGCAGUCUGUCUCACUUCUACAAGUCAAAGAUCCCUUAUUUAAGAGAAUGGGUGUGUCCAGAUUAGCUUAUUUUGCUAUAGAUGCCAAGAAAAGGAUGAAAAUAGUUGAGAUUGGUGGAGCUCAACAGCUUUUGAACAUGUUAAGAGUCUACCAGAAAUGAUCGCACGAGGAAGGAAUCCUUGAAGGCUCUUUUUGCUAUAUCAAAAUCAGAUUAGGUAAAGAUUUUAUCUGGACUUGAGAAGAAUCAUUUUUUUUUUCUUUGGUAUACGGAAGACGGACAAAAGGUAGAGAAUUUUACCCAAAAAUAUGAUACCCUACAAAAGCAUGAAAUAAUCUAUGUUAUCUGAACUUUGUAUGUGCUCCAAAAAUUAAAUAAGAACAAUAUGCUUGCUCUCAUCUAUAAGAAGUGCUCCGCAUACCUGAAAAAGCUCUCCUAUUUGUCUCCCUUCAAAUGAACCACAUUGGCGCUAAAGGAGCUAUACCUCAUGCUCUAGUUCUUCUUUUAUAAAUCUAGCUAUUCAACAUGUACUUCACUGUGGCUGGCAUCACCCACUCUAUGCUAAAUACAUCAAGCACCUUCGACCAUACUUGACUUACAAUUUAACAAUUUCACAGUAUGUGGUCUACAUUCUGUCCCAAUCUAUUGCACAUGAAGCACCAGUUGAUAUAAGUUAUCUCCUUCCUCAAAUUGUUUGAUGAGAAUUACCUCUCGCUACCAGCCAAAUAGAGAAGGAUAUUUCUAUGGUGCUAUAGAGACCCAAUUGAUAAGCAUGAAAAAUCAUUUUCUCUCUGUAAAACAAGCUCCUUUCCUCCUUUAGGGCCAGAACCAAAACUUCCUAUUCCGCUACAAUGUUUUUGUAUAGUAGGGUCGUCAAAAUAUGGAACUAGCUCAUCUUCUGUCUAGUAUAUUUCUCCUGAACUUAAAUUCAAUAUCACUACCACCUUUUAGUCGUAAAGUUAUGCUACUUAUUCCAUUUGUGAGCAGGAGAUCUGAAUAUGGUGGAAAGCAUACUCCUCAGGUUCUCAUCCCCCCACCUCUGUGCUCUAAAAAAACUUUAAAACUUAUUCUUCCCUCUUAACUCACUUUGAAUCCACUUUGUCUUCUGUUCCUAUACCUAAAGACUGUUAGCGAAGAGUUCAUCCCGGGUGGAUAGAUGCCAUGAUAGAAGAAAUGAAUGCUAUGGAGGCUAAUAACACUUGUGCACUGGUUUAGUUACAUGAGGGUAAAUCCAUGGUUGGAUGUCGUUGGGUCUGUACAGUCAAGUAGGUCUUCAUGUUAAGAUUGACUGAAGGCUCAGCUUGUUGCCAGAAGAUAUACACAGAUUCAUGACCUCGAUUAUGGUGAAACAUCCUCUCCGGUUACCAAAAUUGCUCCUUAGCAGCAAUACAUCGUUGGACACUUCAUCAAUUGGAUAUCAGGAAUUCCUUUUUGCAUGGAGAGCUAUUCGAGGAGGUAUAUAUGGAGGAACCAUCAGAAUCUGUUAAUCAGGAGGAGUCAUACAUGGUAUGUGGUCCGAAGCAAUCACUUAACACAAUCUUCAAGAGCAUGGUUUGGUAGAUUCAGUUUGGUGAUUUUACGAUUUGGGACGACUCAUAGUACCGCAGAUCAUUCUGUUUUUUUAUCGUCAUGAUUUUAUAGAUAAAUGUAUGAUAUUCUAGUAGUUUAUGUUGAUGACAUCGUCAUAGCAUGUAAUGAUCAGGACUGAAUUCAGAACUAAAGCAACAUAUGUCCGACGACUGACAUUUUUCAGACGAAGGAUUUGGGAAACUUAAAAAUACUUCUUGGGGAUUAAAUUUGCACAAUCCACCACCAGCAUCGCAAUUGUUCCAAGAAAGUAUGAUCUGGAUACAUUAGAGAAGACGGUCAUGACAAGUUGUAAACUUGUUGAUGAUAUGGAUCAAAAUGUCAAACUUGUUCCUGGUCAGGGGGAGCUGUUGAAGAUUGUAGCCGAUAUCAAAGAUUGGGUGGCAAGUUGAACUAUGUCAUAAUCGUACGGCAGAUAUUUCAUUUGCAGUAACCAUCGUCAAUCAGUUUCCAAACUCUGUGAAAAAGCAUUCGGACAGAUACAUGAAAGGAGCUCCAGGACAAGUUUGUUAUAUGAAGGUAAGGGUCACUUUGACAUUGUUGGGUAUUCUGAUGCAGACUAGCCAAGUUCUCCAUCAUAUAGACAUUCUACUUUUACAUAUUGUCUGAUGAUUGGAGGGAACUUGCUCUCUUGGAAAAGUAAGAAGCAAGAUGUUGUUGCCAGAUCUAGUGCUGAAGUAGAAUAUUGAGCUAUGACUCUUGCUACUUGGGAGCUUAUCUGGUUGAAACAACUUCAAGAUAUUUUUAUAGAAGGGAAAAUGGGGAAGGGCACUUCAAAUUAAGGUGUUUAGAUGUCAAACGAAUGAAACUAAUAUGUAACGAUCAAGCUACUCUUCACAUUUCUUACAAAUGUUAUUUUUCAUGAGGGACAUAGCAUAUAGAGGUGACAUGCCAUUCCAUUAGAUGAUUAGACGAAAUAUCGAGUUGGGAUGCUUGGCCACCAUCUUUGAUAACUUGAAUGAUCAACUAGAAGUGUUUUCACUACCCUCAGAGGACCUCAGGUUGAAUACAUUUGUAACAAGCUUGGAGCUUAAAUAUGUACACUCCAGCUUGAGGAGUGUUGAGAUAUCAUAUGAUUUUCAGUAAUUAGGAUUUAUUUGAUUAGGAUUCUUUACAUACUAAAAUUACUGUAAACCCCAACCAAGCUUGAGGGGAAUAAUCAAGCUUCUGUUUUCUUCUAUUAUCCGUUCUCUUUCUCCUAGAAUACCAAAAGGUGUUCAAGGUCUUCUUGGUAUACUACACUCCAGCUGGCAGCAACAUCUGGAAAUGGUCUGACUUUUAAAAAAAAAUUAAAAUGACCCAGUGUAGCUCGGUUGUGUUGUAUUUAUGAGAUAACAAAAAAGGAGGGGUGCUAAAGCUUUACCUCCAUUACAACACCAUGGUGCGCUAGUCACCUCAAGAGCCAGAAGGUCAUAAUCUCACAUAGGAGGAUAAUGGAUAUAAAUCUUCUGGCAGAUUCAUAUACAUACGAAUCAACUUAUCGAAUUCUAUUCUAAUACAAGGCAUUUGACACUUAUCCAAAAAGUAUGCACCUUUAGCCAUUUUGGAAAGUUGCCUAAAAGAUGUUAGAAUCAUCGUUUGGUUAAGCCUAGCAGCCCUUUCACUAAAAAGUCCUCAACUUGAUUGCUUUCUCUAAAACAGUGAGUCAUUUGGGCAUUCGAUUGAUCCACUAUCUCAAUGAUAUGAUGAUUUGCUAAGUUUGAAGUUGUUGCUGCUCUUGUUGUUCAUCAUAUUUACAAUGAUCAUGGAGUCUAGCUCAAGAGUGAAAUUAGUUAAGUCUUGUUGACUACAUCAUUUCCCACCAAACUCAGCUGCCAAUGCUUCUGCCAUGUUGUUGCUGGUACAUGCUACAUCAGUGUUGUGAAAAGCGCGCUUCAAAACGAGGCGACAACAGCACACUUCUUUUUCCUGAGGCGAUGCGAUAUGAAAAAAGGCGCUCACUUCAGAUAAAGAAGCGAGAAGCGACACUAAGGCAAAAGCGCAAUAAAGCGCGCUUUUUAUAAAAAAGCGACAAUUAGGGUUUUUU